UACGGGUGGCUGCAGUGGGGAAUAUUGGACAAUGGGCGAAAGCCUGAUCCAGCCAUGCCGCGUGUGUGAAGAAGGCCUUCGGGUUGUAAAGCACUUUCAGUGGGGAAGAAAGCCUUGGGGCUAAUACCCUCGAGGAAGGACAUCACCCACAGAAGAAGCACCGGCUAACUCCGUGCCAGCAGCCGCGGUAAUACGGAGGGUGCGAGCGUUAAUCGGAAUUACUGGGCGUAAAGCGCGCGUAGGCGGUCUGAUAAGCCGGUUGUGAAAGCCCCGGGCUCAACCUGGGAACGGCAUCCGGAACUGUCAGGCUAGAGUGCAGGAGAGGAAGGUAGAAUUCCCGGUGUAGCGGUGAAAUGCGUAGAGAUCGGGAGGAAUACCAGUGGCGAAGGUGGCCUUCUGGACUGACACUGACGCUGAGGUGCGAAAGCGUGGGUAGCAAACAGGAUUAGAUACCCUAGUAGUC
rnacentral:rRNA from 1 species